UCCAAGAUGGCGGUCGAAGGAGGAUCGAAUCGAUUAGUACACGUGUAGCCUUUUCUAAGUUAUUAUCGACAAAAAGAGCUUCUUUACUCGUUGUUCAUGGUGAAAGAAUUGUUUCUGAUACUUCUUUGACGGAGGAACCUAUUUUGGUUUGACGUUUUUGAAUAAAAGCCCAAACAAGGUCUGGCCGUUCUAUUUGAAAUUUGAAAUGUUGAAGACAAACAUAUCACUUUGACUGGAGUGGAAUUACAAAUGCAGAAUAGUUUUUGUCGUAAUCAGGUAAUGGCUCUUCAUCACAACCAAAAAGCGGUCUUGUAGCUAUUUCAACACCAGGGAAUUACUCAGCAAAGGGUGCAUGAAUAGUGUUGCAUACUUGACAGUCCUUCAAAGUGUGCAGUUUUUUUCGAGCAAGGGAUGUCUUCGACCAUUUACUUGAAGAGAAUUGAUUAAUGUAGGCAUGCUUCUCUUUUGGCUUUCUCCAGUUAGCUAUUUUCUCGUCAAUAGAUUUGUAACUCUUAAGAAAUGUAGCUGUCAGAGUAAAUUAAAAUCACAUUUAACCUUGUA